rnacentral:rRNA from 1 species
AUGAAUGCCAACAGGAUCAAUCAAGGCAAUCAAUGUUGGCAAAAGAGCAUGCACCUGCGGAGCAGUUCGUCGGUGUUGUCGUCGGCGUAUGCGCAGUGCGGUGAUGGGGCAGACUUUGUCGGCGCUGUUGUGGUCGUAUGCGCAGUGCGGCGAUGGGACAGACUGGGCGGUGGCGUCUUAAUGCCUCGUGAAGUCUGGGCGGAGGCGGCGUCUAAAAGCCUCACAAAUCGUGUUGGCGAAGAGAAGAGCCUGCAACUAUGCUGGCGAAGAGCUCGUUGUUGUGGCCGUGGCGGCCAUCGUCGGGUGCCUCGCCGUCUGCGCAGGCUAGCGAUGGCGCAUACCAAGCUGGACGCCUGGACGGCAACGCUGAACGGCGUGGGGGCAAAUUGA